rnacentral:rRNA from 1 species
AGUGAACGCUGGCGGUAGGCCUAACACAUGCAAGUCGAACGGCAGCACAGUAAGAGCUUGCUCUUACGGGUGCCGAGUGGCGGACGGGUGAGGAAUACAUCGGAAUCUACUUUUUCGUGGGGGAUAACGUAGGGAAACUUACGCUAAUACCGCAUACGACCUACGGGUGAAAGCAGGGGAUCUUCGGCCCUUGCGCGAUUGAAUGAGCCGAUGUCGGAUUAGCUAGUUGGCGGGGUAAAGGCCCACCAAGGCGACGAUCCGUAGCUGGUCUGAGAGGAUGAUCAGCCACACUGGAACUGAGACACGGUCCAGACUCCUACGGGAGGCAGCAGUGGGGAAUAUUGGACAAUGGGCGAAAGCCUGAUCCAGCCAUACCGCGUGGGUGAAGAAGGCCUUCGGGUUGUAAAGCCCUUUUGUUGGGAAAGAAAAGCAGCAGGUUAAUACCCCGCUGUUCUGACGGUACCCAAAGAAUAAGCACCGGCUAACUUCGUG